GGCCCGCUGGCCAAAUGGUAAGGCGCCAGAUUUCGGUGGAUUCGAGGUCAUUCUCGAAGAAGCAGAUGCACUCUGGAGAUUGUGCGUUCGAGCCGCACGUGGGUCG